rnacentral:rRNA from 1 species
UACAGAGGGGGCAAGCGUUGUUCGGAAUUACUGGGCGUAAAGGGCGCGUAGGCGGCUUGGCAAGUGGAAGGUGAAAUCCCUCGGCUUAACCGAGGAACUGCCCUCCAAACUGCUUGGCUUGAGACCGGGAGAGGUGAGUGGAAUUCCCAGUGUAGCGGUGAAAUGCGUGGAUAUUGGGAGGAACACCAGUGGCGAAGGCGGCUCACUGGACCGGUACUGACGCUGAUGCGCGAAAGCGUGGGGAGCAAACGGG